CACCUCUUCCUCGCAGCAGUGUUCAAAUGCUAUCUCCCCUAGCCUCUUUCUUCUCAUGAGCUUUCACCUUGGUGAGCUGUAUGUCCUCCAAGGUCUAGCGUCUUCGUGAGAGCCCCUCAGUCCAGGGUCCAGGGAGUCCGCCGCCCUCAGGCUACUGGCCACUCUGCAGACUCCGAGCUCCA